GCAGUCGAGCGGUAGCACAGAGAGCUUGCUCUCGGGUGACGAGCGGCGGACGGGUGAGUAAUGUCUGGGAAACUGCCUGAUGGAGGGGGAUAACUACUGGAAACGGUAGCUAAUACCGCAUAAUGUCGCAAGACCAAAGUGGGGGACCUUCGGGCCUCAUGCCAUCAGAUGUGCCCAGAUGGGAUUAGCUAGUAGGUGGGGUAACGGCUCACCUAGGCGACGAUCCCUAGCUGGUCUGAGAGGAUGACCAGCCACACUGGAACUGAGACACGGUCCAGACUCCUACGGGAGGCAGCAGUGGGGAAUAUUGCACAAUGGGCGCAAGCCUGAUGCAGCCAUGCCGCGUGUGUGAAGAAGGCCUUCGGGUUGUAAAGCACUUUCAGCGGGGAGGAAGGCGAUAAGGUUAAUAACCUUGGCGAUUGACGUUACCCGCAGAAGAAGCACCGGCUAACUCCGUGCCAGCAGCCGCGGUAAUACGGAGGGUGCAAGCGUUAAUCGGAAUUACUGGGCGUAAAGCGCACGCAGGCGGUCUGUCAAGUCGGAUGUGAAAUCCCCGGGCUCAACCUGGGAACUGCAUUCGAAACUGGCAGGCUAGAGUCUUGUAGAGGGGGGUAGAAUUCCAGGUGUAGCGGUGAAAUGCGUAGAGAUCUGGAGGAAUACCGGUGGCGAAGGCGGCCCCCUGGACAAAGACUGACGCUCAGGUGCGAAAGCGUGGGGAGCAAACAGGAUUAGAUACCCUGGUAGUCCACGCCGUAAACGAUGUCGAUUUGGAGGUUGUGCCCUUGAGGCGUGGCUUCCGGAGCUAACGCGUUAAAUCGACCGCCUGGGGAGUACGGCCGCAAGGUUAAAACUCAAAUGAAUUGACGGGGGCCCGCACAAGCGGUGGAGCAUGUGGUUUAAUUCGAUGCAACGCGAAGAACCUUACCUGGUCUUGACAUCCACAGAACUUACCAGAGAUGCAUUGGUGCCUUCGGGAACUGUGAGACAGGUGCUGCAUGGCUGUCGUCAGCUCGUGUUGUGAAAUGUUGGGUUAAGUCCCGCAACGAGCGCAACCCUUAUCCUUUGUUGCCAGCGGUCAGGCCGGGAACUCAAAGGAGACUGCCAGUGAUAAACUGGAGGAAGGUGGGGAUGACGUCAAGUCAUCAUGGCCCUUACGACCAGGGCUACACACGUGCUACAAUGGCAUAUACAAAGAGAAGCGACCUCGCGAGAGCAAGCGGACCUCAUAAAGUAUGUCGUAGUCCGGAUUGGAGUCUGCAACUCGACUCCAUGAAGUCGGAAUCGCUAGUAAUCGUAGAUCAGAAUGCUACGGUGAAUACGUUCCCGGGCCUUGUACACACCGCCCGUCACACCAUGGGAGUGGGUUGCAAAAGAAGUAGGUAGCUUAACCUUCGGGAGGGCGCUUACCACUUUGUGAUUCAU
rnacentral:rRNA from 1 species